CCAUGUGACGCCAGCAAUGGCCUGAUGACGUCAUCUGGAUGGGACAGGGCCUAUUUAAACCUAGGCAUGCAUAGGCACCGAUCGUUACAGCUCUCCUGGGAGAUCUGUGGACAUUCAAACCAGCCGGUAACGUUACUCUGGGUUACUCCCGCUGUUACGCUGUGUCAGCCCACUCUUAGUGCUAUAUGUUUGGCUAAACAUCCUUGUUUGGCUAAAUGGUUUACUAUAUUGACAUCUUAAAUACUUAUUGACUUUUGGGAGUGCUAUUUUGGCGUAUCCUUUCUUUGAAGUUCUGCCCCUUGGGGAUAUCUUACUCACUGAAGCCGAUUACAUUAAGUAUAUGGACGUCACCUGUCCGAUCGAUAUAAAUCUCCUUCUGGACAUUGGAUUUUUUUAAAACGAUUUUAAUUUAUGUAAGUCAUACAACGUUUAUGCUCUCUCUAUCUACCUUCCUCCAUUAUUUCUAUCUCUAUCAGCCCAUCAUUUUUGCCCUGUCCCCACUGUGUGUUUUGCAAUGUUGGUUGGGUGACAUGCUCCCUGCGCUUGCCUUUGAGGAACACCCUAUCUGAGGUGUAUGUCCAACUUUGGAGCUUCUCGUGAUGCCCAGCUACCCCUCU